UGAUCACGUAGUACAUUGGUGCCGCAUAGAUGAUUGGUUAUAAAGAGUGCGAUCCAUUAAAUGUUGCAAAUGAUUUGAAGCGCUUUAUAGACCAAUCAUGAUUUUCCUUUGGGCGUUUCAAAAUGUUUACAGUAUCUAAUGGAUCGCAUUCAAAGUAAUUAUAAAGUAGUGAUUGGUUAUAAAGCAUAAAUACAUGAAAUAUAGAGCAACUUCAGAAUUGCGUUCAGAGAAACGAUCUGUGAUUCCUUUCGCCAAACCUUUUGUUGCAAAUAUUUAAUUUUUUCUCUGGUACAGAUUUUUUGUACUUUCUAGCUGUUUUCGCAGACGUUUCUUUUCCGGAGAAUUAAAUAUCUUAUUUGGUGAAACGCUUGUCGAAUUAUCCACAACUACAACAGUUUUAAUAUCAUGUUUACUGUGUCCAGGAAUAGGAGAUGUACCUCUAUGUGUUGUCGUAAUCAUAUUACAUACAGAACUUGAUGCAAUAUUUGUAUUAUGUGAAAUAUCUGCAUUAGGAACUGCAUCAGGAACUAUAUUAAUUACAUCAGCAACCACAUGUACUAUAUACAUAAGUAAACAAAAGAUAUAUUUAUAAG